AGCAUUGAGAUGAUCUUUCCCUAGUACAAGAGAACCGGGAAGGUCCCACCUCUGAUGUACCAAGUAUCAUGCCCGCAGUAAAUGCUGGGUAGCCAAGUGCGGAGCAUAUAACUACUUAAAGCAUUUAAGUAGUGACCCCCCUCCAAGAUGAGUGCU
rnacentral:ncRNA from 1 species